rnacentral:rRNA from 1 species
UACGUAGGGGGCGAGCGUUGUCCGGAUUUAUUGGGCGUAAAGAGCUCGUAGGCGGUUCGAUAAGUCAGGUGUAAAAACUCCAGGCUCAACUUGGAGAGGCCACCUGAUACUGUCGUGACUAGAGUCCGGUAGAGGAGCACGGAAUUCCUGGUGUAGCGGUGAAAUGCGCAGAUAUCAGGAGGAACACCGAUGGCGAAGGCAGGUCUCUGGGCAUUAACUGACGCUGAGGAGCGAAAGCAUGGGGAGCGAACAGG